GAGUUUGAUACUUGGCUCAAGGAACGAACGCUGGCGGCGUGGAUAAGACAUGCAAGUCGAACGGAACAUUACGAGUAGCAAUAUGAGUGAUGUUUAGUGGCGAACGGGUGCGUAACACGUGGAUACAUUCCGGGAAGCGGGGGAUAGCCCAGGGAAGCUUGGAUUAAUACCGCAUGUGGUCGAAAGACUAAAGGUGGGGACCGCAAGGCCUGCCACUUCCCGAUUGGUCCGCGGCCUAUCAGCUAGUUGGUGAGGUAAAGGCUCACCAAGGCUACGACGGGUAGCUGGUCUUAGAGGACGACCAGCCACACUGGAACUGAGACACGGUCCAGACACCUACGGGUGGCAGCAGUCGAGAAUCUUUCACAAUGGGGGCAACCCUGAUGGAGCGACGCCGCGUGGAGGAUAAGGUCUUCGGAUUGUAAACUCCUGUCAUGCGCGAACAAGGUUGCCGGGUUAAUAACCCUGCAAAUUGAUGGUACCGCAAGAGGAAGAGACGGCUAAC
rnacentral:rRNA from 1 species